GUCGCAUGCUCCCGGCCGCCAUGGCGGCCGCGGGAAUUCGAUUAGAGUUUGAUCAUGGCUCAGGAUGAACGCUAGCGGCAGGCUUAAUACAUGCAAGUCGAGGGGCAUCAGCUUAUAGCAAUAUAGGGCUGGCGACCGGCAAACGGGUGCGGAACACGUACACAACCUUCCUUUAAGAGGGGGAUAGCCCAUAGAAAUGUGGAUUAAUACCCCGUAAGAUAGUGGGAUGGCAUCAUACUACUAUUAUAGUUACGACGCUUGAAGAUGGGUGUGCGUCUGAUUAGGUAGUUGGCGGGGUAAAGGCCCACCAAGCCUUCGAUCAGUAGCUGAUGUGAGAGCAUGAUCAGCCACACGGGCACUGAGACACGGGCCCGACUCCUACGGGAGGCAGCAGUAAGGAAUAUUGGUCAAUGGACGCAAGUCUGAACCAGCCAUGCCGCGUGAAGGAUGAAGGUCCUCUGGAUUGUAAACUUCUUUUAUAGGGGGCGAAAAAAGGGAAAUCUUUCUCACUUGACAGUACCCUAUGAAUAAGCACCGGCUAACUCCGUGCCAGCAGCCGCGGUAAUACGAAUCACUAGUGAAUUCGCGGCCGCCUGCAGGUCGACCAUAUGGGAGAGCUCCCAACGCGU
rnacentral:rRNA from 1 species